ensembl:lncRNA
CAGCAUCAAGCACAGCCUGCAGCAGUUUCUCUGGAAAUUGCAGCCUUGUACAGCUGAAGAGGAUCAAGGUCCUUGUUUAUUUAUUAGCUGUGUAAUCAAACACCUCCUGCACUGAGCUCUCGGGGCUGGGUACUGUAUAAAGAGGGAACAAAAGGUGGUGUUGGCCCCAGAGUGCAGCUAAUUCUCUGUAAACAUCAGGUGGAGAUGGGCUGAGCCUGGCACAGACAGUGGAGGGUGCCUGUGUUGGUUGGGGCAAGGAGUCCCUGCAGAUGGAGGAUGAGUUGCUGUGGUCUGCACUGGGGAAAACUCAGAAGGGAGUUCAGAAGUCUAUAGACCCAUCCUCUUCUUCAGUACUGCUUCACACCCCAGUCCUGGAGAGAGCAGAACCUUUCUCACCCACUGUGGCUCUGCCUCGGCCUGAGAUGCUUGGAAAUGGAGCUCCCCUGGCCCUGUCUGCUGGUGCUGAGCAACUGUGAAAAUAUGGCCUGGGCUGUCCAAGAUGUUGUCAGUAAAAUUCUCAGAGCCAGCUCUCGUGGAGAGCAGCACAAAGCUGCAGCUGGCUGGGGAGGAAAUCUUUCAGCAGAAGAAAUCACCGGUUCCCUUCGUGCGUGGCAAGACCAUCCUUCUUGCUUCCUGGAAGUGAGGAGACUCGUUAUGUGCUCCUUCUCUCUCUGCACCAUCUGUUGCAGGAUAUGAAGAUCCCUCACAACUCCCCCAGGCGUGGUGGGAGAUGGAGGAGAAACUUCUCACUGCUGCCCCAGGGGAGCUCUGGAGGCCUCGUGUGGUUGUUUUCCCCGUGGUUGAGCAGCUGUGCCCAAGUGUCGCGUAAGAAAAUCCCACUGGGGCCAUUCCAGGCAUCUGGAGGCCUUUCCUGCACCAAACUCCUGCAGCUUCACUGGGAUCCUGCCUGGCUCCCAACUCAGCCCCUUGACUCCAGUUCCUGAGCACAGCUGGUGGCUGCAAGCUGGGAUAUUAACAGCUGGAUCAUUUCUUUCCACAACCACCCUUCUCACAUCAUCCCCCAGGGAGAGAUGUUCAGGUUCAAGUGCAACACCAUGAUGGGAAGCUGGCUAUUUAUUGAUUUGAUUAUUUAUUUCUUUCUCCAGCAGGGUCUUUUUUUUUUUUUUUUUUUUGUUAAAAAUUGCAAAAAGCCAGGCUGAUUUGUUCUGCCAUUGCCUGUUGGAAGAGGGCUCCCUCCCAUAAACCAAGCUGUCUGGGGAAGCCUUUUAUGGAAAAUCACCAGAUCAAUAGUUUUGCCUUCUGUGUUUUUCCAUGGGUGGCUCUGUGUGUUCCUAUCUGCAGCUUUCGGCUCUCAGUGUUGCAUUUUGUCAUUACCAUUUCACUUCUGCCUUCAUGCUCUUGUAUUGUAACAUAGAGCACCUUUUGACAUUACUGAAACACUUUAGCACGGUCUGAGCUGGGCUGUUUGGGAAACCUAAUUCCAGGGAGAGAAAUCCUGAGCAUGGGCUCAGUAGAACAAGUGAGGAAACAUUUGGAUUUCCCAGCUGGGUGAUGCUGAGUGCCCUGACUCCUCCAGCACAGAGUUAGUGAGUGAAAGGCUGGAGAUGUGAUGCCCAGGACAGAUGUUGUGCCAAGGAGGUGCCUGGCCCAGCUGAGACACCCAAAACACCCUGCAGAUCAGUGACCCCACAGUGCUGAUGUGCUCCAGGCCCCUGUAGCCAGCAGGACAUGUUGCUUUUCCCACUUUGCAGCUGCACUUUGGCUCCAGAGUUGUUACCUCAGCUGGAAACCCACUCCUUGAAUCCCUCUGGUUUCCAGCAUUGCUGGACUCGGGGUUGUACUUUGCCAAGUUGUGUUUUGGGCCUCAAUAAGAUGCUGUUGGGAGGUCCCUGGGCCUGCAGGUGCAGCAAGGCACAACUUUCCCCUGCUCCUGCAGGACCUGCACCCAUGGCAGGGUCCCCAGGCCUGGAUGGGGGGAGCAAUUAGUGGGUGCAAUUAGUAUUGUGCCAUUAACAUGCUGAGAUUUGCACAGGUAAAACUGGGGAUGGCAGGAGGAGCCUGGGUGAUGUGCCAGAGCCACAGGUGAGGGAGAUCUCCCCUCUGUGAGACACAGGCAUUGUGCCAGUGGCCUCUCUGGGCUGUUUCUCCCUUCCCCAAACCGUGCUGGUAGGAAAUGGCAGAGCCACGGUGCUGUUGCAGAGCAUUAAGAUAUAUGGUGUGUCCCUGAGGAUAAACCUGUCACUCUGUUGGGAACGGCGAGAAGAACGACACAGACUCUCUUGUGAGUCGAUCAGGAGAGUUCUUUCUCCUCUUUCUUAAGGUUUAUUACCUCAGAUCUUCUUUUAUAGACCAAUACACGAAAGUACAGAAAGGUAAAACUCUUACUGGUCAGUGAAUUAACACAUCACCAUCACUGGUCAGUGGGGUUCACCACCCCUUGAACUUCUCUUGCAAGAAAACAAGAAACCGACAAACAGCACCUGCAGGGCUGUCUUCUGUCUCUGAGGAUUGUUUUAAUUCCUCCUUAUGAUUUCCCAGGCCACUUUCUCAGGCCAGACUGAGGAAAUUAAGCAGCCUGCUAUUCCACAGGCACUGUGCUGCCUGCUUUAUAGUUAGCAUCCACAGGAACCACCCUUGGUUUUGUAUAAUGUUGGUCCCUUCCUGGCCUCCCUUCCUUUUUCCCUACCCCAUUAUAUAUAUGUUACCCCCCAUAUCUCCUCACCUCCCCCUACCCCUAGUACCAGUAGCACCCAAACACCUUUCCUUCUCCUGCCCUGGACGAUUCACUCACAAUAAACCCGGGACCACUUCCCUCA